CUCGAGCGUCUUGAUUAAAUCUCGCGAUGCGCCAAACUAUCCGCGCGAUUUACACGUUAUCACAUCCCACGCAUCUCGAAAGUUUCGCGGAAGCCACGCGUUUACAAGUCAUCUUGCGACAAUCGUAUCUCGCGUGCUCCACUUUACUCAUCCCCUUCCGUCAACGCAGCACGCGACACGUUUAUCGCUGGCACGCGUCCUCGCGUUACCGACAGAGCAAACUCGUUACUAGGUUAGAAUCCGCUGAAAAGGGAUGCUAGCGAGAGUGCACGGGGGUGGUGAGCGAUCGUCGCUUCUCCCCUCCGUCAGGCGCGCGCGACCCCUCUUCACCCUCGCCGUUUCUCGCAGUUUCCAGGAUCUCCGGAAAACUUUGCUGGAAAGCGGCAGGCGGCGGCUGCCGGGUGGGGAGUUGGCGAAUACAUACAGGGUAGGUAGACUACGAGUAGGGGAAACGGUUCCCUUUGCUCCGCCGAGCCACCCCCUAUCCACCAGCCACCCUUUUGUCUGUCUGUGUGUAAGCACGAACGCGGUAAAUAAAAAAGUUUUAUGUCACUCGCGAAUUCGUCGGCGCCGGCAAUGCGCAGGCACCAACAUGGCCGCGCACUUCGCGAAACUUUGUCGAAACACCUACAGAUUAUCAAACAACAGCUACACGAGAGCGUUUACUCACGGAGCGGCAGGGAUAGUUAGGAAGAAACUAAUAUUCUCGAACGAACCGAGCGAGCUGAAUACUAAACGCGCCUCUUUUGCUAAUUGCGAGUGUUCAUCUCAGAACAGAUGCAAUUUUUGGAAAACAGUAGUCAGGGCUGAAAUAUAUAACAAAUGAUCACCUGUCAACUGAAAACUGUUACUUGAUGUAUAUAAUCUAAUGCGUGACGAUACUGCGAGCCUUUGUCACGUAUUUAACUAAUCAAUACUUAAAAUCCGUAACAAUAAUCAUUUAUUCAGCUUCAUCAAUCAGUAAGAAAACUUUUGUUCGUGUAAUUAUAAAGCGUGCAAAUGUACAUAUUAAAUUGAAUUACAUAGAAACGAAACAGCUGACUGCACGGUCCGCUUAUAGGGCGUAACGUAUUCAAUUACUGAUCUGCUAUUAAAACUUGAGGUGAAGAUCUCGCGAGACAAUGGUACGAGCGCACGAAGCACGUGGCGGAUGUUUGGAAAAGUGUCUCUGUAUCGAAUCGAGUGGAAGGAAGACACGCGAGUGCCAUCACUCCGAUGGAAAUGAAAGAGGGAACGCUGCAUCUGCUCGACAUAGACCGACUCUCGAGUGCAUACGAUGGUUUCUUUCUGGUCGUCGGAAGCUGUCUACUCGUGGCACGGUAGCCGUACCUGGUUGCCUGCCGCCUGCCCUCGUGGGAGUCAGCUAAGGGAAAUCAAUAUCUCACUAGGGGUAGAGGAACACGAGGAAGAGAGAGACGAAGCAGCGAGAGUAGGAGCCGGCAAAGGUGGAGAAGGAAGAUGAGGAGGACGCGGCAAAGAAGCAAGAGAGGAGACGCGAACGCGGUGGGAGGGUGGUCGCGCGCUCGUCGACUUCGCUCCCUCGCGGCCCUCCGCGGCCGUAGUGCCACGCGUGAACUCGACCGCCGCGGUAGCACGCGUGAACCCGCGCCAGCGAUCGCCGACCAAUCACCCCGCGCUAUCGCGUGGCGGUUGUUUUUAUCGGUCGCGUACCGGUUCGGCAGCGGUCAGAAGUCACUGCGCCAACAAGAAUGCAGUCGGAGGUGGCACGCUUUGAUUUUAAUCGACUUGGAACAUGUUGUGUAAGAUAUCGUAAAAUACUUGAUAUAUAUAAAAUAUAUUACACAGUCAAUAUCAAUUUUAAAUAAUCUUGAAAUAUCAAUUAUAUUAAAUAAAUAAUAUCAAUUUUAAAUAAUCUUGAAAACUAUAUCUUCAGAUAUUUUGUGCAUAAUAGUAUCAUAUUCAUGAUAAUACUAUCUUGUAGAGGGGGUAAUAAAAGUUUUAUUAUGUCAUCAUAUCCUAAGUGCAUUUCUUGUACGCAUCAAACUUUCAUGCACAUUACAACGUGUUUAAAAUAGGCUAUUUAAAAAAUAUUUCUGGAAAUAUUAAAUUAUAAUAAUUCUUGCAAUAAUUUGCGUAGCAUGGUUAUCUCCACUGACAGUACCUGGUUAUCUACUCUGUGCGCUUACGGGUUGGAGUACCAUAAUUUAAAUGCUACGUUCGCGGUUUCAAAUUUAUGCAACCGCGAAUAUUGGCGUCAACUUCGAUUUCUCAGCUCUAGUUUCUAGAUAUGCAGGUAUCUCAACUCUGUCGGACAUUUGAGUAGAUUUACCAAGCAUUUAUUAUGCAUUAGUUCGUAAUCUUAAGUCCGAAAUUUCCAUCAAAUAAAUUAAUCCAAAAUAAUAUCGAUUGCAAUAAUUAAUAUAAGAACUUUAUGCGUUGUGGUUUCUGAAACAUAGAACCAAUAAUCAUAUGCACCAUGUAAGACCGUUUUAAUUAACUUUGAUGCAACUCCUCUAAUUCAAAAAUUAAUAGAUACAACGAGUAA